UGAAUACGAAAUACUACGGUAUUGAAGUGGUCUAUGUCAUACUUCCAAGAAAAGCUCGAAAUAUCAUAAACAAUAAAUGCCUGUACCUUAAACCGACACAGGUAGGUAGGUAGAGCAUACCAAGGGGCGCGAGAUAACUCUCUCUAAGGAACUCGGCAAAAUAACCUCGUAACUUUGGGAGAAGAGGUACCCUUGCAAAAGGGUUGCAAUAACCAGACCCUGGCGACUGUUUACCAAAAACACAGGUCUCCGCUAAUUCGUAAGAUUAUGUAUGGAGGCUGACGCCUGCCCAGUGCCGGAAGGUUAAAGAAGUUGGUCAAUGCUUGCAUGAAGCUAGCGACUGAAGCCCCGGUGAACGGCGGCCGUAACUAUAACGGUCCUAAGGUAGCGAAGUUCCUUGUCGGGUAAGUUCCGACCCGCACGAAAGGCGUAACGAUCAGGGUGCUGUCUCGGGGAGAGGCUCGGCGAAAUAGACUUGUCUGUGAAGAUGCGGACUACCUGCACCUGGACAGAAAGACCCUAUGAAGCUUUACUGUAUCUUGGAAUUGGGUUGGGCCUUGUUUGCGCAGGAUAGGUGGGAGGCUAUGAAGAUGUUUUUGCGGAAAUGUCGGAGCCAAUGGUGAGAUACCACUCUAGCGAGGCUAAAAUCCUAACUUUGAACCGUUAUCCGGUCGAAGAACAGUUUCAGGUGGGCAGUUUGACUGGGGCGGUCGCCUCCUAAAAGGUAACGGAGGCGUGCAAAGGUUCCCUCAGGCUGGUCGGACAUCAGUCGUAGAGCGUAAAGGCAUAAGGGAGCUUGACUGCGAGACCUACAAGUCGAGCAGAGACGAAAGUCGGCCUUAGUGAUCCGACGGUUCCGAGUGGAAGGGCCGUCGCUCAACGGAUAAAAGUUACUCUAGGGAUAACAGGCUGAUCUCCCCCAAGAGUUCAUAUCGACGGGGAGGUUUGGCACCUCGAUGUCGGCUCAUCGCAUCCUGGGGCGGUAGUACGUCCCAAGGGUUGGGCUGUUCGCCCAUGAAAGCGGUACGCGAGCUGGGUUCAGAACGUCGUGAGACAGUUCGGUCCAUAUCCGGUGCAGGCGUUAGAGUAUUGAGAGGAGUCUCCCUUAGUACGAGAGGACCGGGGAGAAUACACCGCUGGUGUACCAGUUAUCGUGCCAACGGUACACGCUGGGUAGCCAAGUGUAGUGUGGAUAACUGCUGAAAGCAUCUAAGUAGGAAGCCCACCUCAAGAUGAGUACUCUCAUCUCUUUAAGAGAGUAAGAUCACGGCGAGAACAGCCGUUAUAUAGGCGUCAAGUGUAAGUGCAGUAAUGUAUUCAGCUGAGAUGUACUAACAGAUC
rnacentral:rRNA from 1 species